rnacentral:rRNA from 1 species
ACGCUGGCGGCAGGCCUAACACAUGCAAGUCGAGCGGCAGCGACUUAACUGAACCUUCGGGGAACGUUAAGGGCGGCGAGCGGCGGACGGGUGAGUAAUGCCUGGGAAUAUGCCCUGAUGUGGGGGAUAACUAUUGGAAACGAUAGCUAAUACCGCAUAAUCUCUUCGGAGCAAAGAGGGGGACCUUCGGGCCUCUCGCGUCAGGAUUAGCCCAGGUGGGAUUAGCUUGUUGGUGAGGUAAUGGCUCACCAAGGCAACGAUCCCUAGCUGGUCUGAGAGGAUGAUCAGCCACACUGGAACUGAGACACGGUCCAGACUCCUACGGGAGGCAGCAGUGGGGAAUAUUGCACAAUGGGGGAAACCCUGAUGCAGCCAUGCCGCGUGUGUGAAGAAGGCCUUCGGGUUGUAAAGCACUUUCAGUAGGGAGGAAGGUAGUGUAGUUAACACCUGCAYUAUUUGACGUUACCUACAGAAGAAGCACCGGCUAACUCCGUGCCAGCAGCCGCGGUAAUACGGAGGGUGCGAGCGUUAAUCGGAAUUACUGGGCGUAAAGCGCAUGCAGGCGGCCUGUUAAGUCAGAUGUGAAAGCCCGGGGCUUAACCUCGGAAUUGCAUUUGAAACUGGCAGGCUAGAGUCUUGUAGAGGGGGGUAGAAUUUCAGGUGUAGCGGUGAAAUGCGUAGAGAUCUGAAGGAAUACCAGUGGCGAAGGCGGCCCCCUGGACA